ensembl:misc_RNA
ACUUCUCCACCCCACUCGCCACCCACCUUUCUCCUCUUCCGAUUUCAGCCACUCUUAAUUCCGGGAGUUGGGAACCUAAGCUUUGAAAACUCCCAUGUGGUCCUUGUCCUAAAUUGGGGCAUUCUCAGUA